AACGAACGCUGGCGGCAUGCCUAACACAUGCAAGUCGAACGAGAUCUUCGGGUCUAGUGGCGCACGGGUGCGUAACGCGUGGGAAUCUGCCCUUUGGUUCGGAAUAACAGUUGGAAACGACUGCUAAUACCGGAUGAUGACGAAAGUCCAAAGAUUCAUCGCCAGAGGAUGAGCCCGCGUGGGAUUAGCUAGUUGGUGUGGUAAAGGCGCACCAAGGCGACGAUCCUUAACUGGUCUGAGAGGAUGAUUAGCCACACUGGGACUGAGACACGGCCCAGACUCCUACGGGAGGCAGCAGUGGGGAAUAUUGGACAAUGGGCGAAAGCCUGAUCCAGCAAUGCCGCGUGAGUGAUGAAGGCCUUAGGGUUGUAAAGCUCUUUUACCCGGGAUGAUAAUGACAGUACCGGGAGAAUAAGCUCCGGCUAACUCCGUGCCAGCCGCCGCGGUAACAC
rnacentral:rRNA from 1 species